rnacentral:rRNA from 1 species
CCGGAGAAUGUUAUCACGGGAGACACACGGCGGGUGCUAACGUCCGUCGUGAAGAGGGAAACAACCCAGACCGCCAGCUAAGGUCCCAAAGUCAUGGUUAAGUGGGAAACGAUGUGGGAAGGCCCAGACAGCCAGGAUGUUGGCUUAGAAGCAGCCAUCAUUUAAAGAAAGCGUAAUAGCUCACUGGUCGAGUCGGCCUGCGCGGAAGAUGUAACGGGGCUAAACCAUGCACCGAAGCUGCGGCAGCGACRCUSAKGYGUUGUUGGGUAGGGGAGCGUUCUGUAAGCCUGUGAAGGUGUGCUGUGAGGCAUGCUGGAGGUAUCAGAAGUGCGAAUGCUGACAUAAGUAACGAUAAAGCGGGUGAAAAGCCCGCUCGCCGGAAGACCAAGGGUUCCUGUCCAACGUUAAUCGGGGCAGGGUGAGUCGACCCCUAAGGCGAGGCCGAAAGGCGUAGUCGAUGGGAAACGGGUUAAUAUUCCCGUACUUGGUGUUACUGCGAAGGGGGGACGGAGAAGGCUAUGUUGGCCGGGCGACGGUUGUCCCGGUUUAAGCGUGUAGG